rnacentral:rRNA from 1 species
AGCUUGCUCUUUCCGGAAUUGAGUGGCAAACGGGUGAGUAACACGUAAACAACCUGCCUUCAGGAUGGGGACAACAGACGGAAACGACUGCUAAUACCGAAUAAGUUCCAAGAGCCGCAUGGCCCAUGGAAGAAAAGGUGGCCUCUACCUGUAAGCUAUCGCCUGAAGAGGGGUUUGCGUCUGAUUAGCUAGUUGGUGAGGUAACGGCCCACCAAGGCGACGAUCGGUAGCCGGACUGAGAGGUUGAACGGCCACAUUGGGACUGAGACACGGCCCAAACUCC